GUCAGGAUAGCCGAGCGGUCUAAGGCGCUACGUUCAGGUCGUAGUCUACUCUGUAGGCGUGGGUUCGAAUCCCACUCCUGACA
rnacentral:tRNA from 1 species